rnacentral:rRNA from 1 species
GAGUUUGAUCCUGGCUCAGAACGAACGCUGGCGGCGUGGAUAAGACAUGCAAGUCGAACGCUCAUUUUGGGGUAGCAAUACUCCAAAGUGGGAGUGGCGCAAGGGUGCGUAACACGUGGGUAAUCUGCCAUAAAGUUUGGGAUAACUCGCUGAAAGGCGAGCUAAUACCGGAUGUGAGAAUUGAAAGGCAUCUUUUGAUUCUUAAAGCUGGGGACCGUAAGGCCUGGCGCUUUUUGAUGAACCCGCGGCCUAUCAGCUAGUUGGUGAGGUAACGGCUCACCAAGGCUAAGACGGGUAGCUGGUCUGAGAGGACGACCAGCCACACUGGCACUGCGACACGGGCCAGACUCCUACGGGAGGCAGCAGUAAGGAAUAUUGCGCAAUGGGCGAAAGCCUGACGCAGCGACGCCGCGUGGGGGAUGAAGGUCUUCGGAUUGUAAACCCCUUUUAGGAGGGAAAAUGGGACGAGCAAUCGUCCGGAUGGUACCUCCAGAAAAAGCCACGGCUAACUUCGUGCCAGCAGCCGCGGUAAUACGAAGGUGGCAAGCGUUGUUCGGAUUUACUGGGCGUACAGGGAGCGUAGGCGGUUUGGUAAGCCCUCCGUGAAAUCUUCGGGCUCAACCCGGAAAGUUCAGAGGGGACUGCCAGGCUAGAGGACGGGAGAGGAGCGCGGAAUUCCCGGUGUAGCGGUGAAAUGCGUAGAGAUCGGGAGGAAGGCCGGUGGCGAAGGCGGCGCUCUGGAACGUUUCUGACGCUGAGGCUCGAAAGCGUGGGGAGCGAUCCGGAUUAGAUACCCGGGUAGUCCACGCCGUAAACGAUGCGGACUAGGUGUCGGGGGUAUCGACCCCCUCGGCGCCGCAGCUAACGCAUUAAGUCCGCCGCCUGGGGACUACGGCCGCAAGGCUAAAACUCAAAGGAAUUGACGGGGGCCCGCACAAGCAGCGGAGCGUGUGGUUUAAUUCGAUGCAACGCGCAGAACCUUACCUCGGCUUGACAUGCACGUGGUACCAAAGCGAAAGCUGAGGGACUCGCAAGAGAGCGUGCACAGAUGCUGCAUGGCUGUCGUCAGCUCGUGCCGUGAGGUGUUGGGUUAAGUCCCGCAACGAGCGCAACCCUUGUCCUUAGUUGCCAUCUCUAAGGAGACCGCCGGUCUAAACCGGAGGAAGGUGGGGAUGACGUCAAGUCCUCAUGGCCCUUACGGGCUGGGCUACACACGUGCUACAAUGGUGGCGACAGAGGGCGCAAGCGAGAGCGCAAGCUUUAGCAAAUCCUCAAAAGCCAUCUCAGUUCAGAUUGCGCUCUGCAACUCGGGCGCAUGAAGGUGGAAUCGCUAGUAAUCGCAGAACAGCAGGCUGCGGUGAAUACGUUCCCGGGCCUUGCACACAC